GUGGCAACACUGGGGAAGACCUAGCGGCGAACGGGUGAGUAACACGUGAGAAACCUGCCCCGAAGACUGGGAUAACUCCGGGAAACCGGAGCUAAUACCGGAUGCCCUCUCCAGGUCGCAUGGUCAGGCGAGGAAAAGUUUACUCUGCUUCGGGAGGGUCUCGCGGCCUAUCAGCUUGUUGGUGAGGUAACGGCUCACCAAGGCGUCGACGGGUAGCUGGUCUGAGAGGACGAUCAGCCACACUGGGACUGAGACACGGCCCAGACUCCUACGGGAGGCAGCAGUGGGGAAUCUUGCGCAAUGGGCGAAAGCCUGACGCAGCAACGCCGCGUGGGGGAUGACGGCUUUCGGGUUGUAAACCCCUUUCAGCAGGGACGAUAGUGACGGUACCUGCAGAAGAAGCCCCGGCCAACUACGUGCCAGCAGCCGCGGUAAUACGUAGGGGGCAAGCGUUGUCCGGAUUUAUUGGGCGUAAAGGGCUCGUAGGCGGCUUGGCAAGUCGGAUGUGAAAAUUCCAGGCUCAACCUGGAAACGCCAUUCGAUACUGCUAUGGCUUGAGACCGGCAGGGGAACACGGAAUUCCUGGUGUAGCGGUGAAAUGCGCAGAUAUCAGGAGGAACACCAGUGGCGAAGGCGGUGUUCUGGGCCGGAACUGACGCUGAGGAGCGAAAGCGUGGGGAGCGAACAGGAUUAGAUACCCUGGUAGUCCACGCCGUAAACGUUGGGCACUA
rnacentral:rRNA from 1 species